AAACUGCCUCUGGCUACUUGUUGCUUAAACACAACGCAGAAUGAGGACAAUGUUUUCUUCCACAAUAUGGUGCCGUGACUCGGAUGGCAACGCCCGAUUGAGGACAGCGACAGCGGCUGCAGACCGUCCCCCUUCACCCUCAGGGCGCCAAACGAGAGAUCAUCAGAAAGCGCUGGUACCAGCUGAAGAAAAACAACAAACAACAACAACAAAAAACCAGGGUUCUGUGUUAGGACGUAAUAAAUUUGUGUUCUGUCCAAGUUUGUCUUGUGUGUCUUAAUUGUAAUAUGUAUUGCAAAUAUUGUUGUAUGUAGGAUAUUUUUUUAAUGAAAGGAUAAUUUGAGUAAAGCAGAAGCAUUAAUUUAAACCAACAAAAUUAAUAAUUGGGCCCAAUCAAUUGGCAAUCAAUUGGCAACUCUAAACUUAAUGAAUUGGCAACUUUAAAAUUUAGUGAAAGGAUAAUAGUUUGGUAAUUGUUUAGGCUAGGAGAAUGUUAACAGUGUCUCCACAGGUGAACCAAAAAAAGGAACUGGAAAGAAGCAAGAAGUGCAUCAUGUGAACAGAAGGACUGGGAGUGGGGUAACAGCCCUCUCCCCCACCGGAUUGAUUUUGCUUUAAUGGCUACACAAAUGAAAUAUUUAGCUUCUGUAAAUUUGCACACCAACCAUAAAAGUGGUUUGGCCAGAGAUAAUAAGAAAUCUAUAAGAAACAACACGGGCAAGUGAGACAUCAGCAUAUGUAAGUAAAGAUGCCCACAAUAAAGAGGAAACUAGUAACCUCACCAUUGCAACAACAGCUACUUGCCCUGCUACUCAUUGGUGCCUGAUGCCUUAAAAGGCCUCAAGAAUUACGGAAUUGCAUGGGUUAUCAAUUAAACAUCUGUGAACCAUGCUUGGUCCUAUAAGAGAAACAGUGACUCUAGUCAACGUAACCUCCUUCAAGUCACAUACAUAGAAUAAAUACACGCUAAUAGCAAUGGGGAAUACACGGCCUUGGGCCGCCCCUCAUUCACACAGAAUUAUUUUGUUUUUUGUAACAACAUGAACACUACGAGGACAAAGAAUACACAGUCCUCUGAGUUAAAGUUUGUAUGGAAUAUUGUGGGAAAGAAGCUAAACACUAACAUCAGGCCAAAGGCCCACCUGGACAGGGCAUAGUAUAACCAUUUGUUUUUGGCCCCUCUGGGGAUUCCUCACUUAGAUCAGAUCAGAAUGGUAACCUCCCUGCCUGUACCAGAGCAGGAGAAUAUAGAGAGAGUUGAGGGCAUUGCUUAUUCUGAAGGAGUGGGAGCCUCCCUAUACCCAGGGAUUGUUGCACCCACUUUGAUAAGGAAAUUUUAUGUACCUGCCCAUUUAACAUCAUGACGAAUCUGCCUAGGUUUGAUGUGGUUGUCUCAGAGAAACAAAAACAUCGAGCUGGUCCAAAUAAAUGGUACCUACUGGUGUUUGAUUACCCAGACAGAUCACUCCAUCCUGCCCCUCUACAUAUCCGUCUGUGUGCAUAACAGCCCCUUGCCGGAUGAUCCUGACCGUUGAUGGAAUGCGGCUCUAUCACACUUCGGAGGAAAUAACCUUGGUUCCAAAGGAGCUAGCUGGCUUUUAGCUCAGAGAAUAGAGACUCUUAUGUCCAUCAGCGAAAGACCGCUCUAGAAAGACCUUUACCAAGUUUUGCUAGCCACCAACACCGCUGUGAUGUGCCAAGAACUGACUGUUGGCCAAUGAUUCUCACUGCAAAAAGACCCCUCCAUCUCGAAAUGAUCCUACCCCGACUGCUGAUAAGUCUCUCUUCUUCUGGUCCUGCUUUCCACCUGCUGGACACCAGAAGAACCAAAAUAUUACAGGGUGAUGUGCUGGUAACCUCUCCCCUGCAUGAUGCUGAACCACGACUGUUUCAAGAAAAAAAGAGGAAAAGUCGCUCCUGUGACACCGCCAAAGCCCAAUGAUUUCUGACUACAAAAGGACAUUAAGAACUGACCUUGGUGAAAGAAGCGAAGUAUUGUAUAUUGCCAAGGAGAAACUUGUGGGAGUGGUUUGGGUUUCUCCCUUUGAACUGGACUCUGUGCUUAUGGACAUGUACCGUCAGCAUGUACCUGCCCUCCCUAAUUUGGUUACUAAUUAUGAUAUAUUGUGUUAUGUUACUAAAAUUAUAGAACAGCCCCAUCAUAGAAUUAUAUUGGGGAUAUUAAUGAUUAUAUUGCUUUUGCUUAUUAAAGGUUUCAAAUUUGUUGUUGUAAAAGAUGUAGUAAUAAAAAUAGCUUUUAUGUUUGUACUAAUUAUGUAAUGUUUAAUGAAAAUAAAGGUUUAGAAAGGUAGUUGUGCUGUAAGCACAAAAGGGGGGAGUGCGGAGGCA